CGGUUGUGUAAGGCUGUUGGUCCUGCUGCAUUUCUCCCCGCCAAGAUUUUGAUUGAGGGUUUCCCCGGUUACGACUCCAUCAAAUUCUUGUGCUCCUGUAAACGCAAGAGACCCACCUCUUUCCAGUCUUUAUAGUAGCUAAGACUGGGAAGUCAAGAGGCCUGCUGGUGCAAACCUGUUAAGAAGGGAUGACUCUCGAGCAUCGCAGUUAACUAACUUGGCUGAACUAUAACGUGUCAGUAUUACAUUCACGCAGCUCCUCCUUCCCACCUAUAUAAAAAAACAAAUUGACCGGCGUCCUAGUCAUAGAAACACUUGGAAAGUUUUACGAAACAUGUAAAUUUAGACGGAAUUAAGGAAGAAGGCAGUAUGAUGAAGGCCAUGCGGUUGUCGUUUGUAACAUUUUUUAGUUCAUUCCGCAGGUAUUAAUAGUGUUAUGUAUCGGACAGACACGAACACAUUAAGGACAGUUAAGAAGAUCCACACAGACUUUGCAACCUAACGAGACACAAGUAACAGUAGUAUGUGAAAAUAGGGCAGCUGUUCCCAAAAUGCCAUCCGCAAAACCUGGAAGGUCCUCAGGGGCCUUUUCAGUGAAUCUGUAAGGUCAAAAGCAUCUUCACAAUAUGAAGACUUUAUUUCCUUCACUUUGUUGAGAAUUGCACUGAUGGUGCAAAGCCAGCACCUUAGCAAAAAUCAAGGCAGUGGUGUCAGACUGCACGACUACAGUGAGUCCCUCUACAUACGAGCUUUUGAGUCACAAACUUUGAAAGAUGCCAAGUGUCCCUGUAUGCCAGGUACAGUGGCGGUACUACUACACUCUACAGGUAUUCAUGUAUCCAUGUGAGAGUUGGACUAUAAAGAAAGCUGAGCACGGAGGAAUUGAUGCUUUUAAACUGUGGUGUUGGAGAAGACUCUUGAGAGUCCCUUGGACUGCAAGGACAUCCAACUAGUCCAUCCUAAAGGAGAUCAGUCCUGAGUGUUCAUUGAAAGGACUGAUGUUGAAGCUGAAACUCCAAUACUUUGGCCACCUGAUAUGAAGAGCUGAUUCAUUUGAAAAGACCCUAAUGCUGGGAAAGAUUGAAGGCAGGAGGAGAAGGGGACGACAGAGGAUGAGUUGGUCGGAUGGCAUCACCGACUCGAUGGACAUGGGUUUGGGUGGACUCUGGGAGUUGGUGAUGGACAGGGAGGCCUGGCGUGCUGCAAUUCAUGGGAUCACAAAGAGUAAGACACGACUGAGCAACUGAACUGAACUGACAUAUACACAGAAGAGUGUUAAGACCAACAUAAAGUGAGGUUUUUUGUUUUUUUUAAUUAAUAUGUUUAUUUCUCAAUCAUGCUAUCUAUCCUAUGUUCCAGGGAAUUCUGCUCCCUGUAGUUCCCACUGUAUAUUAACAAAUCUGACAUACAAGACAGUUUCUUAGCCUUUAGUAUAGAAUGUGGUCUUCUAAUGAACCAAAUUAAAGAAAAAUUUUUCCUGACCUAUUUCAAUAAGUUUUGGAGGAAACAUCAAAGAAACAUUUAUUAAAACUUUUAAGGAAUAAACAUUCUUAUAGAAUUUAUUCCCACAGGGAUUCAUAGGAAUAUUUGCAAAUUUUAAGAGCAGCCAUGUUAUAGUCUUACCCUGUUUGACUAUUUAGACCUAGCUGUCCUUCUUAAAAACUUAACAGAAUAAUAAAAAUCGAAGUAGAAUUUUCCACUAUGAAAUGCCCAAAGCUCUUCACUCUGCUGUCAGUAAAGUAUUACUAGAAAUGGAUUUAGUACAAGGAAUGCAACAUGUUAAUCAUUCUUUUGGGUUUUUAUGGAGGCUUUGGGGGUUUAUGG
ensembl:lncRNA